CCUAAGAUCAGGAAAAAGACAAGAAUGCCCACUCUGACCACUUUUACUUGACAGUACUAGAAGUCCCACCCGCAGCAAUCAGACAACAAAAGAAAUAAAAGGCAUAUAAAUUGGUAAGGAAGAAGUAAAACUUUCACUAUUGGCAGAUGAUCUGAUGCUAUAUAUAGAAAACCCUAAAGACUCUACCAAAAAUCUACUAGAACUGACAAAUAAAUUCAGUAGAAAAAAAAAAUGACAAAAGCAAUGUAC